GAAUAUUGGACAAUGGGCGAAAGCCUGAUCCAGCAAUGCCGCGUGAGUGAUGAAGGCCUUAGGGUUGUAAAGCUCUUUUACCAGGGAUGAUAAUGACAGUACCUGGAGAAUAAGCUCCGGCUAACUCCGUGCCAGCAGCCGCGGUAAUACGGGGGGAGCAAGCGUUGUUCGGAUUUACUGGGCGUAAAGGGCGCGUAGGCGGCCUCUGCAAGUCGACUGUGAAAUCUCCGGGCUUAACCCGGAACGGUCAGCCGAUACUGCAGGGCUAGAGUGCAGAAGGGGCAACUGGAAUUCUCGGUGUAGCGGUGAAAUGCGUAGAUAUCGAGAGGAACACCUGCGGCGAAGGCGGGUUGCUGGGCUGACACUGACGCUGAUGCGCGAAAGCUAGGGGAGCGAACGGG
rnacentral:rRNA from 1 species